CCCUUAGAUGUUCUGGGCCGCACGCGCGCUACACUGAAGGAAUCAGCGUGGCUUUCUCCCUGACCCGAAAGGGUUGGGAAACCCGUUGAAUCUCCUUCGUGAUAGGGAUUGGGGCUUGAAAUUGUUCCCCAUGAACGAGGAAUUCCCAGUAAGCGCGAGUCAUAAGCUCGCGUUGAUUACGUCCCUGCCCUUUGUACACACCGCCCGUCGCUACUACCGAUUGAACGGUUUAGUGAGGGCCUCGGAUUGGUCUCGGCCCGCUCUUUACCGGGCGGCGCCGUUGGUCGAGAAGACGCUCGAACUCGAUCGUUUAGAGGAAGUAAAAGUCGUAACA
rnacentral:rRNA from 1 species